rnacentral:misc_RNA from 1 species
AAGUAGGAUUUGGCAACGCCUAUUUGGUCAUCUAAGUGAACAUUCAGUAAAACGUAAAAAUGGCUUCCAUGGCUGCGCAACUGCUCGAUGAGUUAAUGGGAAGGAAUCGAAAUGCCCUUCCAACAGAUCGAACGAAAGAAUUAUCUUAUAAUGACGCUGAGGUUUGUAGGUACUACAUGGUUCGGUUUUGUCCACACGAUUUGUUCCAUAACACGAAAGCAGAUUUAGGCCCAUGCCCCAACCUUCACGAUGAAGCUGUGCGACAGAAAUACUUGAACGAGGCACCAUCAUAUACAAAGACAAAGUUUGAAGAUGAGUUUCUCAAAUACUGUCGAUCUAUGCUGAAUGAAGUUGAGCGUAAAAUCCAAAAGGGUGAACAAAGACUUGCCCAAUCACAGCUAGCAAAACAAGAAGCUGGUGCUAAUCCUAAAACUAAAGCUGAAGAACAAAUUGCUUUGUUAACUGAUAAGAUAAGUCACCUGGUUAAAGAAGCUGAACGUCUAGGUUUUGAAGGAAACAUUGAACAAGCACAAGGCUUAUUAAAACUUAGUGACCAAUUUAAAAGUGAACGAGAAGCUCUAAAGAAAGGAGAAGGCCUCUCGUUUGCAACUGAAUUGAUGUUAGAAAAGCAAAUGGAAGUCUGCAAAGUAUGUGGAGCUUUUCUAAUUGUUGGUGAUGCUCCAGCUCGCCUUGAUGAUCACAUGCAAGGAAAACAGCAUGUGGGUUACCAAAAAUUGCGAUCGGCAGUAGAUGAAAUCACGGAGAGUCGAGAAAAGGCUCGUCAAGAUAGAGAAAUGCAACGCCAGAAAGAAGCCGAAGAUCGCCGCGGAAGGCGUCAUGAUGACGAUUCACGUCGCCAACCUGGAAAAGACCGUGAAGGUAGUAGCCGUAGGCGCAGCCGUUCCCGCUCUCCAAGACAUCGGUCAUCAAACCAUCACGGCGAUCGCCGAGAUCGUAGCGAUAAAAGUGAUCGUCAUCGGGGAGAACACGAACGCCACCGAGACAAAGAUCGUGGGCACAGCAGAGAUCAUCGAGACAGAAAACGAGAGGAUAGACCUCGUGAUCGUGAUCGCUCAGCACACAACGGUUUAAAGGAGAAUGGUGGAGGGAUCAUAUAGCUAUUACGUGUAGGAGAUGGAGCAGCAGUACGAAGUCAAAAAGUCAUCUAAGAUGAGGUAGCUUCAUCGUAUUUCAGGUCCGGACUAAAAAAAAUGUUGAAGCCUUGUUGUCAGACGCUCAUUACGGAUCCCAGUGGGCGUCUCAAUUUUUCCCUUCGCCUCAAGUCGCUGCUGCUGUCAAGCAAGGUGACACAUUAUUUGUAUUCCUUUUCUGUUCUUCCUCGAGUUCUUUCUCGCUCCUACAACUGAUCUUUUUCAUCAACAAAGCAUUCAUUUUCUUGUGGAACCUUACAGUUUAUUUUUUUUUAUUUUAUUUUUAUUUUGGAAUGUUUCUACCUUCUUUAAAUGUCAUUUGAUUGCAUUAUACCACUACACAUUCCUCAGUUUGAAUUAAAACUUGCUUCUGUGUGACAGAUAAUGCAUUAGUCUAAAGUUGCUUAAAUACACGUUAGUCUUCAACCAGA